AAUAGAUACCCGGGUAGUCCACGCCGUAAACGAUGUCGACUUGGAGGUUGUGCCCUUGAGGCGUGGCUUCCGGAGCUAACGCGUUAAGUCGACCGCCUGGGGAGUACGGCCGCAAGGUUAAAACUCAAAUGAAUUGACGGGGGCCCGCACAAGCGGUGGAGCAUGUGGUUUAAUUCGAUGCAACGCGAAGAACCUUACCUACUCUUGACAUCCACGGAAUUUAGCAGAGAUGCUUUAGUGCCUUCGGGAACCGUGAGACAGGUGCUGCAUGGCUGUCGUCAGCUCGUGUUGUGAAAUGUUGGGUUAAGUCCCGCAACGAGCGCAACCCUUAUCCUUUGUUGCCAGCGAUUCGGUCGGGAACUCAAAGGAGACUGCCAGUGAUAAACUGGAGGAAGGUGGGGAUGACGUCAAGUCAUCAUGGCCCUUACGAGUAGGGCUACACACGUGCUACAAUGGCAUAUACAAAGAGAAGCGACCUCGCGAGAGCAAGCGGACCUCAUAAAGUAUGUCGUAGUCCGGAUUGGAGUCUGCUAAACG
rnacentral:rRNA from 1 species